UUAAGUAUUAAAGUUCAAAUGCUUUAAUGCCACCCCACAACUUCUGGCCUGGCAGGUACACAAAUAGGGUAGCCAGAGAACAUCCUGCAGCAGAAGCCCCAGAUGCUUGAGGGUGAAAGUCCUCAGUGUGGUUGGAAACUGCCCACCAAAGCUGCAGGUGACCUUCUGAGAAGGUUUCGGAAGCUGUACCACUCCAUCAAUCUCCAAAAAGUUUUUCCACCGACGGUGACUUUUUCAAGAACAGGUAUGUAUUAAAAGUGUGGAUACAGUGGACGCAGGACACCGGCAGGAAGCCAAGGUCAUAGUCUGCAGGAGUGGGAAGAGCCACCCUACCACAGCGCCCCUCCUGUGACUGCUUAAGGAAGUAGGCGACAGUCCUCACAAGAGCCAGCCUCUGCACCCAGCUGUUAUAAGCAUCUUUGGAAGCAUCU
rnacentral:lncRNA from 12 species